UACAGAGGUCUCAAGCGUUGUUCGGAUUCAUUGGGCGUAAAGGGUGCGUAGGCGGCGCGGUAAGUCGGGUGUGAAAUCUUGGAGCUUAACUCCGAAACUGCAUUCGAUACUGCCGUGCUUGAGGACUGGAGAGGAGACUGGAAUUUACGGUGUAGCGGUGAAAUGUGUAGAGAUCGGGAGGAACACCGGUGGCGAAGGCGGGUCUCUGGGCAAUUCCUGACGCUGAGGCGCGAAAGCGUGGGGAGCAAACGGG
rnacentral:rRNA from 1 species